rnacentral:lncRNA from 1 species
AUGGGGGGAAAAAAUAUUUCUUACAAUUUACAAUAAUUUGAUUUUGGAUGUAACGCAUUUUCUGAUUGGCUGACGUCGUUUUGUUUAUCAGCCCAUAGACAUAAUAUAGUCAUGUGACCGUGACAUUUUUUCAUGAUUUACUCCGGUUUAAAAUGAAAUUUAGAAUUAAAUUAUAAGAAAUAACUAAUAUUUUUUCUGUCUAUUCGAAAUAACAUAAAAUAUGUGGUGUACACUUUAAAAUAACCCGCUACAUUUGUACGUGGUUAUUCAGUCUGCACCAAAUUUUUAUGUUAUUUCUUCAUAGACAGAAAAAAUAUUACAGUUAUUCCUUAAAU